rnacentral:rRNA from 1 species
GAUUAAGUUAUUAAGGGCGCACGGUGGAUGCCUUGGCACUAGAAGCCGAUGAAGGACGUUACUAACGACGAUAUGCUUUGGGGAGCUGUAAGUAAGCUUUGAUCCAGAGAUUUCCGAAUGGGGAAACCCAGCAUGAGUUAUGUCAUGUUAUCGAUAUGUGAAUACAUAGCAUAUCAGAAGGCACACCCGGAGAACUGAAACAUCUUAGUACCCGGAGGAAGAGAAAGAAAAUUCGAUUCCCUUAGUAGCGGCGAGCGAAACGGGAAGAGCCCAAACCAACAAGCUUGCUUGUUGGGGUUGUAGGACACUCUAUACGGAGUUACAAAGGACGACAUUAGACGAAUCAUCUGGAAAGAUGAAUCAAAGAAGGUAAUAAUCCUGUAGUCGAAAAUGUUGUCUCUCUUGAGUGGAUCCUGAGUACGACGGAGCACGUGAAAUUCCGUCGGAAUCUGGGAGGACCAUCUCCUAAGGCUAAAUACUCUCUAGUGACCGAUAGUGAACCAGUACCGUGAGGGAAAGGUGAAAAGCACCCCGGAAGGGGAGUGAAAUAGAACCUGAAACCGUGUGCUUACAAGUAGUCAGAGCCCGUUAAUGGGUGAUGGCGUGCCUUUUGUAGAAUGAACCGGCGAGUUACGAUUUGAUGCAAGGUUAAGCAGUAAAUGUGGAGCCGUAGCGAAAGCGAGUCUGAAUAGGGCGUUUAGUAUUUGGUCGUAGACCCGAAACCAGGUGAUCUACCCUUGGUCAGGUUGAAGUUCAGGUAACACUGAAUGGAGGACCGAACCGACUUACGUUGAAAAGUGAGCGGAUGAACUGAGGGUAGCGGAGAAAUUCCAAUCGAACCUGGAGAUAGCUGGUUCUCUCCGAAAUAGCUUUAGGGCUAGCCUCAAGUGAUGAUUAUUGGAGGUAGAGCACUGUUUGGACGAGGGGCCCCUCUCGGGUUACCGAAUUCAGACAAACUCCGAAUGCCAAUUAAUUUAACUUGGGAGUCAGAACAUGGGUGAUAAGGUCCGUGUUCGAAAGGGAAACAGCCCAGACCACCAGCUAAGGUCCCAAAAUAUAUGUUAAGUGGAAAAGGAUGUGGCGUUGCCCAGACAACUAGGAUGUUGGCUUAGAAGCAGCCAUCAUUUAAAGAGUGCGUAAUAGCUCACUAGUCGAGUGACACUGCGCCGAAAAUGUACCGGGGCUAAACAUAUUACCGAAGCUGUGGAUUGUCCUUUGGACAAUGGUAGGAGAGCGUUCUAAGGGCGUUGAAGCAUGAUCGUAAGGACAUGUGGAGCGCUUAGAAGUGAGAAUGCCGGUGUGAGUAGCGAAAGACGGGUGAGAAUCCCGUCCACCGAUUGACUAAGGUUUCCAGAGGAAGGCUCGUCCGCUCUGGGUUAGUCGGGUCCUAAGCUGAGGCCGACAGGCGUAGGCGAUGGAUAACAGGUUGAUAUUCCUGUACCACCUAUAAUCGUUUUAAUCGAUGGGGGGACGCAGUAGGAUAGGCGAAGCGUGCGAUUGGAUUGCACGUCUAAGCAGUAAGGCUGAGUAUUAGGCAAAUCCGGUACUCGUUAAGGCUGAGCUGUGAUGGGGAGAAGACAUUGUGUCUUCGAGUCGUUGAUUUCACACUGCCGAGAAAAGCCUCUAGAUAGAAAAUAGGUGCCCGUACCGCAAACCGACACAGGUAGUCAAGAUGAGAAUUCUAAGGUGAGCGAGCGAACUCUCGUUAAGGAACUCGGCAAAAUGACCCCGUAACUUCGGGAGAAGGGGUGCUCUUUAGGGUUAACGCCCAGAAGAGCCGCAGUGAAUAGGCCCAAGCGACUGUUUAUCAAAAACACAGGUCUCUGCUAAACCGUAAGGUGAUGUAUAGGGGCUGACGCCUGCCCGGUGCUGGAAGGUUAAGAGGAGUGGUUAGCUUUUGCGAAGCUACGAAUCGAAGCCCCAGUAAACGGCGGCCGUAACUAUAACGGUCCUAAGGUAGCGAAAUUCCUUGUCGGGUAAGUUCCGACCCGCACGAAAGGCGUAACGAUUUGGGCACUGUCUCAACGAGAGACUCGGUGAAAUCAUAGUACCUGUGAAGAUGCAGGUUACCCGCGACAGGACGGAAAGACCCCGUGGAGCUUUACUGUAGCCUGAUAUUGAAAUUCGGCACAGCUUGUACAGGAUAGGUAGGAGCCUUUGAAACGUGAGCGCUAGCUUACGUGGAGGCGCUGGUGGGAUACUACCCUAGCUGUGUUGGCUUUCUAACCCGCACCACUUAUCGUGGUGGGAGACAGUGUCAGGCGGGCAGUUUGACUGGGGCGGUCGCCUCCUAAAAGGUAACGGAGGCGCUCAAAGGUUCCCUCAGAAUGGUUGGAAAUCAUUCAUAGCGUGUAAAGGCAUAAGGGAGCUUGACUGCGAGACCUACAAGUCGAGCAGGGUCGAAAGACGGACUUAGUGAUCCGGUGGUUCCGCAUGGAAGGGCCAUCGCUCAACGGAUAAAAGCUACCCCGGGGAUAACAGGCUUAUCUCCCCCAAGAGUUCACAUCGACGGGGAGGUUUGGCACCUCGAUGUCGGCUCAUCGCAUCCUGGGGCUGUAGUCGGUCCCAAGGGUUGGGCUGUUCGCCCAUUAAAGCGGUACGCGAGCUGGGUUCAGAACGUCGUGAGACAGUUCGGUCCCUAUCCGUCGUGGGCGUAGGAAAUUUGAGAGGAGCUGUCCUUAGUACGAGAGGACCGGGAUGGACAUACCUCUGGUGUACCAGUUGUCGUGCCAACGGCAUAGCUGGGUAGCUAUGUGUGGACGGGAUAAGUGCUGAAAGCAUCUAAGCAUGAAGCCCCCCUCAAGAUGAGAUUUCCCAACUUCGGUUAUAAGAUCCCUCAAAGAUGAUGAGGUUAAUAGGUUCGAGGUGGAAGCAUGGUGACAUGUGGAGCUGACGAAUACUAAUCGAUCGAAGACUUAAUCAA